GCACCAGCUACAACCCGUGGCUGCUGGGCUGGCAGCUACAGAAUGGGUCAUGUCUGUCACCUGCCCUUGUGUUGGAAGACUGCUGGCUGUUUUCCUCUGUCGAAUGCCAUCUUUCUGUCAUCACCUUUGGAAUUAGUGACUCUGUUCUUUUCCAGUUAUAGACUCAUUACGUUAAUCUCAAAGAGAGCACUUACUUUCAAAUAUUGAUGCUUAUUUAUUUGCCAGUCUGUUCAGAAAACAUACAUCAAUAUAUUCUGGAAUCUACAAACUGUCAAAAUUGAGACCUAUUUAGAAGGUAACUAGAGGCUUUUAAAUAUCACAUGGCAUUGGUCAAAUUACAGAAAAAAAUUUCUGUGAUGUUAAUAAUUUUUCAAGAAAAAAAAAACAAAACAAAAAACAAAAAACAUAGAACAAAACCAACCAACCAACCAAGCAAACAAACAAGCCACUCUUAUCCAAGAUGAAAAUUUAACAGGAAUUUAGUGUUGCUGAAAUUGUGGGGAAAACACAGUAGUGCAUGCAUAUUAGGGGUAAAGAUAUUAUUUUAAGAAAUAAGAAAGGGCUUAGAAGGGAGCAGGGAGAAGAGAAAGACAGUAAUAGAGGGAGAGGCGAAAGAAGCCAAGGCAGAGGUGCUCUGAGUGUGGUUUCCUAAUGUACUAAAGCCUCGGUUCUUUCUUAGAGUCUUCUCCAUACAGAUAGGUCAUCACUAAACUUGACAACAUAAGAGGGUAUUGAAAAAUGAAAUUGGACAAGAUUACAAAUAAUGUUACAUAAUAUGUUUUUGAAACUUGCCUCACAUAGCCAGGGUCCUAUCUUACAAUGUGAUUUCAGUAGGGCUUUAAUUUGUUUCCUUUGUAUCUGUUCCUUCACAGAGUAGGUAUUAAGUACUAUACUAGCCAUCAAUUUCAAAUACCCUGCUGUGAUUUGAAAUAGUGGUCUCUUCUGAAGUCAGCCUCAGAAGAGAAGUACAGAAAGAUAAUCAGCAAAUGUGAAUUCAUUCUACAGAUUAAAAUAAACUAGUCCUGGAAAUUAUUAAGGCUUUAGUUGUAAAAAGCUGGUGAGAGCAUUGAAUAAUUAAAAGAGAGAUUAUAAAUUACUAGAAUUAAUGACAUAAUAUAUUUGUAUAUUUCUUUUAUAAUUUCAAAUUAUUUCCCUAUAAGAAAAGUUUUAAAAGGAACUACAAGAUUAAAAUCAUAAACAUAUUUACAAGCCAUUACUUGUCAAAUUUCCAGACAACCUUUAGACUUACAUGUUUUUACUUCCAUGAGAGAAUUAAGGAAUGAGGGCUGCAGAGAUGGUCCAGCAUUCAGAGUGCGCACUACUCCUAGAGAAGACCUGAGUUCAUUUCCCAGCAUCCCUCUCAGGUAACUUAUAACCUCCUGUAAUUCUAGCACCCAGGGGACCUGCCAACCUCCUCUGGGCUCUAUGGCUCCUACACACAAAUGCACAGUCUUUAUUCUUACACAGAGAGAGUUAGAAAGAUGUAAGACUAAAUACAGUACUUACAUGGACUAAGUAAUGACUUGAAAUCUACUCAUGUCUUUUGGCCUUAUAGUUUCACUAAAAAGUAUUGUUGGGAGAUAAUGUGAAAUUAUAAGAUAAAUAACUACCCAAAUAUAUGCUCAUAAAAGCAGAAAUCUAAAUCUAUAGGUUAAUCUGAAUCUUUUCUGUUUUUAUGGCAUUGUCUCAAAAAUUGUGGUUGUGGAGACUCAGGACUAGAGUUGUGUAGUUUCCUUUGUAAUGGAAGGGAGAAGCAUAUAUGGGGUGGGGAAGGAAUGGUAUUCAAGGGCAUUUCCAAGAUUUUAAUGGCCCGUACUUGAAAUUAUGACCCGUGGUAGCUCAGCCUCUCUGGUUUCUGGAGAUGGUAGUAUGAAAGGGUGCUAAUAUAAAAUGACGCCAUCAGCCCGAAGUAUGUGGCUAGUGUCAAUUAUGGAGUAAGCAAAAGGUCAGGUUAUCUUGAGGAAGGGCUGUCAGGUGGCUGCAGAUACCCCAUUCAUGAGAGGCAGAAAUAAGUGGCAGCUGGUAAAUCUGAGUCCCGCCAUGUGCAUAGCAUUGUGUACAGUAGGGAUGUACCAACAGGAGAGAUGUCCUUUUUCUUGUGGGGUUGGAGGUUAGCAGCCUGCUCUUGAUUCAUUUCAUUCACACUCCCUGAUAGCACAAUUGACUCAUCCCUCAUGAUCAAUAGAAAACCUUAGAAGUCUGUGGGUACAGUCAUCAGUGCUGGGGAGGCCCAAGAGAGGGCUAAGGAACUGAAGAGGAAAAAGAGGAUAGAUUCUUUGAAGUUCAGGAAAAUACUCAAGAAGACAAAAGCUAGACUAAAUGUGGUUGACAGCAAUGCCUACAUACAUGGAAGAAGGUUGGAGCUGUGAGGCACCAGGAGUGUUGGCUCUUGGAAAACAUUGCCUCUGUGGAGCUGAUGUUAUAUAAAGAAAGGGCAGUCCACCUUGAAUGAUAUUGAAAAUGAAGAAGGAAGGAUAGGGGAUGGAAGGAGCAUGAGCAAUGGGUAAGGCUAGCUCACCUCUCCCUUGUGGGUACCUAGUGUAUAAAGGAGGAAGGGAGGGCAAGAGAGAGGACUCUCCAGUUAGGCAACCAGUCCAUUGAAUGGGUGAGGGCAGAGCGAAGGAAUCUACAUCUACAAGAUAGAUGACAGAGAGUCUUGGAGAGGGAGAGGG
ensembl:processed_transcript